UACGGAGGGUGCAAGCGUUAUCCGGAUUCACUGGGUUUAAAGGGUGCGUAGGCGGGCAGGUAAGUCAGUGGUGAAAUCCUAGAGCUUAACUCUAGAACUGCCAUUGAUACUAUCUGUCUUGAAUAUUGUGGAGGUAAGCGGAAUAUGUCAUGUAGCGGUGAAAUGCUUAGAUAUGACAUAGAACACCUAUUGCGAAGGCAGCUUACUACGCAUAUAUUUGACGCUGAGGCACGAAAAGCGUGGGGGAUCAAAACAGG
rnacentral:rRNA from 1 species